CUUGGCAACACUGGUAACGAGUGUGACGUUUUUGACGUUUCCUCGACGCUUGGGAUAACCUAGAAAUUUACUUGUUUAUUUUGUUUAAUUGUUUGUUUCAUAUCGAAAUAGUGCGUUUUUUUAUGUCAUUCGUUUCGUUUCUAAUUGAAAAGACUUCCUUGUUAUUGUAGUGUACUGUUUUAAAAAGUUCGUUUCAGUGAUAUACCGUUAUAUAAAUAACUUGGUUCGUUCUCAAUCCAUUAUGAUUAUUACUCGGUUUUCUUGAUAUUGUCGAUAAAAUUAUCAUAUUGGCCCAUUAAUAAGAAUAUUUGUAAGUGAGAAGUGUGUUUGUUUGUGUUGUGGUUGUGGUUUGGUGAAUUUAGUUUUGACACAAGAAAGUUUUAAGUUGUGAUCUCAGUGACAACAAAUAUUGAAAGGAUGAAGCAGACUUCGCGCUCAGGUAAGUCAAGCCACAGUUGCAGACUACAGCAACAUAAUUGGUAAGUGAUUUGAUUUUGUAUAAAUAUAAAAAUAUGAUUUUUCUUAAAUAAUGGCUGCACCGUUUUAAUGGUUUUGCCAAUGUUGAGUAAACAGAUUGAUAAUACAAUAAAUAUAAAAAGAUAUUAUUCAUGGUAAUCAAAACCAAGGUUAUCAUUUUGAGUAUAAUGCAUUAUAUGUAGUUUUUUUAUACUUAAAAUAAUUUUAUGAAUGACCCUUUAUUUUAUAUUUUUGAUAUAUUACGAAUUUAAUUAUAGUAUUUUUUUAAUUAAUAAUGUUUUUCUAGUAAUGUAAUUAAAACAGAUUUUUUCUAUUACCUUUUUUUUUCAAUAUGUUGUUUUGAAGUGAUUAUUAUUUGAACAUAGUCCAUAUUUUAAAAUAGAUGAUAGUAUUUAAUUAUAUUUUUAAGUUCUAUUUUUAAGUAUAAGGUAUCAAAAACGGUUAAACUAUUAAUUUUUAUAUGGGGAAAAUGUUUGUAUGCCAGAUUAUAAGGUAAGUAAAGAGAAAUCUGGUAUUUCAAUUUUUUUUUGUUCUGGUGCAACCAAAAUAGGAUUUUAUAUCACUAAUAAAAUAUAGAAUAAAGUGAACACAUAAUAUUUUUACAGGUGAUAAUAUUUAUUUAUGUGAUAUAAUCUAAUUAUUUCAUUUGUGAUUUUCUGUGUUUGCAGCAAAUGUCUCACAAUUUGUGUGUAUACAAUAUACUUGUAUGUUACAUAGAGCAUUAAAAAUUUUAUUGUCAAGUGGUUUUACUUUAAUAACCCAUUCUAAAGCAGGUCUCAAACUAGGAAGAUGAUAUUGGAUGCAAAAUUGAGACUUGAGCACAUAAGAAUAAGAGCUUUCACUGUUAUGUCGUCGAUAUCCCACAAGGGCUUAUCCAUGAGCAUUUUAAUGUUAAUGGAAUUCUGCAGAUAAUUUAUUAUGAUCACCCAGACUUGGCACACUUUGGAGUACUUUACCGUUUCACAGUAUUCAGUUUCACUGUCUUAUUUUAUGUUUUAAAUAGUUAAUAAUGUAUUAGGUUUACAUUAAAAUAAAUUUAUUACUGAUACAACAGAGUGAAAUUAUUUCCAUCUAAAUUGGGCAAUAAAGAUGUAAGCAAAUAUAUAACCCCUGAUUUUGUCUGUAUCUAUACAUAUACUUGUUUAAUAAAAUAAAUGAAAUCUUUGUAAUGUAAUGUCAUUAUUUUAUAUUAAGUAAUAUAUUAUCCAAAAUAUUGAAUUGUUGCUAAUGUAAAUUAAAACUACUCAAAACAUAUACAAAUAAGCUAACAUUUUUCAGCGAAAUAUGUUAACACGAUACGUGGAGCUCAGCGCAUUCUCUUCAACAAUUAUAUAUUUAGGCAGCAAUGCAAGGCGUCAAAAGAAGGCAUCAAGACAUGGUAUUGUAUUGCAUAUGGAAGGUUUCAAUGUCCAUCCGUACUGAGCACAAAUAACUUGCACCAUAUCAUACAGAUCAGGGGUAACCAUAACCACCAGCCUCCAGAGAUAAUAACAGUUGCUGGUGGAACGGUACUUCAAACAGUGAUACAAGGUAAAAGAAAAAAACCAGGUCCCACUCCAAGUCCUAAGACUAAAAGGGUAAGUAUACAAUUUCUAAAAAGGAAUGCAAGUACAUAAUCUAGGGCAAGAGUUAAUUUAAUGAAAUGAUCAUAUGUAGGCAUUCAUUGCCGGAUCUGUACUUGGGAUCCGAGAUAAAAAAGCGAGCUCCUCACACUUCCUGACGUCUAUUGUGUUGUGCUCUUUAAUUAUCGACAUUUUGUUUUAUCAGGCUAAUGUUUUAGAAAGUGUUUCUGUGAGCUCUUGUGAUGGCUGUAAACUGCAAUAUGCAACUUCUAGAGUUUGUGGGUCAAAAAAUAACAUAAAAAUGGGUCAAUAUUAUACUUAAUAUAAGAAACAUUCUGCUUAGUUGAAAGUCUAGCACUUAAUAUGUUGUUUGUUAAUUGUGAUAUAAUUUUGUUUAAGCUAAAUUACUACCUAUAGCUGCUUUUCAUUUUAAGUUGUGAUACAAGUUUUUAAAUGAAGUAUUAAACUUUUAACUCAAUGCAUGUUUUUAAUGAGUGUAUGUGAUUUAACAAAUCUCAUAAUUUUAAUGUGUUUUUAAAAAAAUGUUGAUGUGCAAUUCAUCAGAAGCUUGAUGAAGCUAGUAUUAAAAUAAACUGAAAAGUAAAAUAGUGUAUGAUUUUAACUAUGUCUAGAAGAAUUGUGCCAUAUUAAUUGUUGUGAUUUUUUAAUUUUAAACAUUUUGUUACUAUUUUUUAUAUUUAUUUCUAUUGUUUUUAGCAUCUUAAGUCUGAGUUAUGUGUAAGUUAAGAAAUGUAUAAUUUUUAUUGCAUCAUUGUCUAGAGUUUUACUAAUAAUGACUUUAAACCAUUUACCUCCAUUAUCAGUGUUUUGAGAUACAUGAUUUAAGUAUGUGACAAAAUAUAAUAUUUUAAUAUUUAAACACCAAUCUUCAAUAGAUUAUAUAUUUUUGUAUACAUCCAGCAAUAGAAGUGGAUAUAAUAAGGCUUAAAUAUUGAAAUUUGAAUGCUGUUCUACAAUGGAGUUAAUGAAGUUAGCAUUAACUGUGAUUAUUUACUAUAAAAUAGCAUAUAAUAAUGAUGUUUGCAAACUCAUUUUUUAUCAAAAACCAAUUUUUAUCAAUAACUCAUUUUUUUUAACAAAAACUAUUUUUUUUAUCAGUAACUCAUUUUAUAUUAAUAGUUUCUGUUAUACUUACUAAUGUUAAAAAUCGGACAAAAACGAUCUGCAGUGCCAGGUCAUAAAAUAAACGGUAUUUUUAAUUUUAUACUAUUGAUGUGACACACAUAGUAAUUAUUAUUAUGUUUAAGUAAUAGUUUUACUGUUCUUUAUGGAAUAUUUAAAGGCAUCUCAUUUGCCAAAUAUGGAAGUAAUAUUGUAGUAUCUGUACCUAUUAGAUAACUAAACUAUAUGUUGUUUGAAUAGAGUAAAUGUGAAAUACAUUUUGAAAUAUGUAUUUAAAAUAUUGUUUUAUUUCUCCCAAUGUAAAUAUACUAUAAAUGUUUCAUCUGCCUAUUAUGUUUGAUAUAUCAACAAUUGAUUUUGGGUUAGAUUCCCAAUCGAGUAAGUAAAAGUUAGUAUGGUUUCUCGGGAAAGUUGCUUGGAAAUGGUAUAUCUACUCAAUACCGAUAGACCAACACCGCAUCAUGGUCAAUAUGAUUUUUUCGACUUGUAAAUUCAUGAGUUUUCUUGUCUUUAACAAGGUGUGAUCUUCUUAUAACGAAUAUUUGAUGGUACGUAAUAAUAUAAAUUAUUUAUAUAUUUUCAGAGGCUCUCAUUAUACCUUCAAGAAAUAAACGCGGUCACGGUAUGGUGUUGUUCAGAGGUUACACAUACUCUUGGAGAAAUUACAAAAAAUACGGCAAUUACUGGACAUGUUCUAGUCACCAUAAGAAAGGUUGUAAAGCAAACAUCACCACAAACGAAUCUGAGAAACCCUUUGAAGUUACGAAGUUCAAUGCUGUACAUAAUCAUCCGCCUCCGAAAAUUAAAUUAUGCCCCGAUGUAGAAUAUGUUGACACUUAAUUUGUAUAUAUUUUGUUAUAUUAUAUUUAAUUUAUGAUGAAUUAAUUUUCACUUAAAGUAAAUGAUAUUGAUUAUACUUAAGUGUACAUUUAAAAUUUAUUGUAUAUUUGUUAAUAAAUUUGAUGGUGGUUAAUUUUAAACAAUAUACGUUAGAAACGAAUUUUUACGUCUACAUAUGUGCAAAUUUAAUAUAUUGUUGGAUUCACAAAUUUUCAAGAACUCACCGUUUUUUCUACUGAAUCUCGAUAUAUGAAGAAAAUUGAUUGUUUUUAGAUUAAGUGAAGGCAACAGUAUAUUUUUGUUUUGUAAAUUCUGAAUAACAAUACGGAUUUGUUGUGGGCCGUAUGUUUUAUAAAAGUAGUUCAUAAGUCCUAAUUUAAUGUACAAACAUGUUAAUUAAUUUACAUUUUUAUACAAGGUGUUGGUUUAUAAAUAUAAUUUAACAUGACUGAUGAAGUUUGUUCAAUUAAUAAAGAUUUAUAUGAGUCGUUUAUAAAACUAAUUCUCUUUCUUCCCUAAUAUAUGUACUGGUGUUUACUGUUCAUCAUAAUUUUCAAUUCAACAAUUUUUGGUUUAUGACUAAGUAUCUGCCGAAUACAAUAAAAAAGAUAAAUCGCCAUAAUGGGUAACAGUUUUUGCUCGUUCUAUUACUGGCUUCCGACUUUGAAAAUUCCAGCGUCAAUCACGUUAUGUUGUUACAGGUAUAGACUUUAUAAAAUCGAAAAAAGGUAACAAUUUAUUAGUGCACAAACAGUACACGUAUGCCUUAAAUAGCAAGAGUAAGAACAGAAUGACUUGGACCUGCUCCUCUAGGUGUUCUAAAAAGUGUAACGCUCUGGUCGAUUUGAAUAAAAAUGGGGUAUUCUCGGUGAUUAACGGUGAACACACCCACGAACCACCGGUUUUCUACCAAAACGAACGUGGAGAGUACAUCAGGUUAACAAAAAGGAGACUCAGUCAGCUCAAUCAAGAGGAAAUGGAAGAGGAAAGUAUAAUCGAAAGAUUAGAAGAUGAAGUAUAAAUCAUUCCUGACAUGGACGUGCUGAAGGUUGUGUCUUCAGUGGUUAUAUUUAAAAUAAUAGUUUUAGGUCCAAUUUACCAUUAUAUAUAAGAAUAUAUGUUAUUUUAAAGGGGUCAUAAGAUGUAUGUUUUAAAUAUACUUAAACACAAUUUAUUUUUUGUUACUUAAUAGUGUUUUAUUUCAUUUUCGUUUUUCAUCUCAAAGAAGUUUAAGAAAUCAUUUAUAAAUACAUACAUAAUUGGAUAAAUUAAAUAAUAAACAACGCUCUGUUUUCAAACAGCGUUCUUUAUUUAUUAGAGAAGGUGAAUUUUAUAAAAGACUCGAAUUCUGAAGUACUUACCUUUCGAUUUUUUUUUAUUGUUAUAUUUAUAAACAACAAACUAUUGGUGCAUGUAGCAUACAAUCUUGAUCAACCUAGCGUGAGGUUUUACACUUAAAAUACAUCUAAUUGGGCUUAGCAUUAGCUAUCUUUCUACAAUUACCAAUUAAAACUAAGUCUCCAUUAUUGUACGAGUUAGUUGCCAAGGUCAUCAUAAAUUCUUAGACUAUUUCCAGGCCUAGCAUUACAGUCGAGCCGUGGGAUGCCAAUGCUUUAUUACCGCAAUCACGUGUUCAACAUGAGUCAUUGCACCAAGAGAGAUAGGCACGUCAAAUGGUACUGCUCAUUGAGGACGGCAAAGGUGUGCAAGACUAACAUUGUGACUGAUUCUGAUGGUUCAGUGGUCAGGCUAAGCGGCUGUCACAACCAUAAGGCCAAGACAGAAAAUGAAAGAUUAUUCUAGAAACGAGUGUUUUAAUGUUUACAAUCAGCAGAUGUCGCGAGUUCAAUGGGUUAAUUUUUUAGCAGUAUCUACUGAUUGUGUUUCUUUUCUGCCAUUUCUUUCCAGCGAUGGUUGGUGCCUAUAAAUUACUUUUAUGUGUUUCUGUAUGUAUUAUGCCUGGUGUUUUGUUUUGUAUUAUACUUUCUGUGAAAUAAUGUAAGACAGCAGCUAAUUUAAAAGGAAUAUUAGGUAUCACGGAAAAAUAAAUAUUUGAUCAAUUUAUUUUAAGUACUUAUUUAAUAUAAGACACCAUUUCUUUGUCAAGUAGAAUAGUUUUGUAAAAAUACCAAAAUACCUUCCUAAUUACAGUUAUUUCACAGGUCCGGUGCUUAUAAAGGCGAAGAAGAAAGGAAAAUACAUCCUCCUAUACAACAGCUUCACUUACUCGCGUAUCACGAAGUCGAAGAAAGGAACGGUUUGGAAAUGUACUAGCAGUAAAACAGACGAAUGUAAAGCUACCGUUACCAUAGAUGAUAAUUUGAAUGUUGUUGGCACCAAGGGUAGUCACACGCAUCGAAAACAGACGCUAGAAGCUAAACCUAAACACGUAUAUUUUACUACUCAAUGACAGUAAAUUCAUUUUUUUCAUAUAACCGUGUCCAUCUUAUACCAUUUUAUAAAAAUGAAAUAGUUUAGUUACUGAAUUAAUUUUACGAGUGGCCUAUAAGUGACCUUUGACGACGAUUAUUUUCUUGUACGCCAGAAUCCACGUUCUGUAGAUUUUUUCGUUUGACAAGUAAUAUGUGUGUGAUGAGUGAUCUGCCUUCGCAAAUUACUCGGGCCGGUGUAAAAUAGAUUUAAAUUUGUCGCGAAAUGUCAUUUCCGGAAUAUACAUUGUGCGUAAUACAUUUAUAUUUUCAAAGCAUCAAAAUAUAUUUUUAUGUUUUUAAUUUCUUUCUUCUUUUUAUGUUUAAUGGUCAUUGAGAUUACACUGUUAUUGAAAUGCCCUAUAGAUUAAUUAUAUCUUGAUUCUUGUAAGUGAAUGCUUCGCUUUAUUUGAUUCGCUGAUGCUUCGUUAUCAUGAUCUUUGUGGAUUGUUUGUGCAUUGAUCAAUUUUGUUUUAAUCAACACUGAUUCAUUGUUAACAGCAUUUUAUUUUUAAUUACUUAACAAUGUUGGUGUGACUAACAAAUAAUAUUAACCUGUUUCUCUGUGUAAAUCCAUUUUUAUAUAUUACCAUCAGUACUAGUGGUGACGGCGGUGGACGGCGCGCCACUACUGAUCGUCCGAGGCUACUCCUUCAACCACCCCACACCAGUAGCUGGUGGCGAGCGUUGGAUCUGCUCUGGGCGCGUCCGUUUCAACUGUGGUGUUUACGUCCUCGUCAACGAUGAUUAUGAGCUUGUCAAGAUCACCAAAGAGCAUACCCAUAAGCCGCCAGUAUACGAUAAAAAUGCUGAUGGCCUUUAUAAAUUGAUAAAUUUAAAAAUUUUAAUCCCAUUCGGCACCGGCUUGAUAAAAGAGAUGGCCCUAGAGCGAAAAUAAGGAGACGGUGCGUGGGGUGCUACAAAAUGUACUCCACCCUCCACGGCAGCGUCAAAGCUAAGAACAUGACCACGAAAGUGAACACCUACUGCUCCCAGUGUCCUGGCGAACCUUAUUACUGUUCCCAUUGCUUCCUCAAGAGCCAUGGCUAUCUCCUCCCCCGUCCUACUCCCUCGGUUGCUCUGAACGUGCUCAAAAUCGAAGCACCGACCGGCGACGCAUGAGUUUAGUCAACACGUAUUGCACAUUAGUGCGCUACGAAAUUUUUUCUUAUUACACCGGGAACACACAUGUACCUUCAAUUCUAUAUGUUUUUAUAAGGCAUUACUAUCACUCGUCCAUGUUACUUAGUGUUUAUGCAAUAGAGCGUGAUUUAUUAAAGGUUACGUUUGACUUGUAGUUAAUUUUAUCAGGUCUAUCGUUGUGCUUCCUACAAUGCUAGUUUGUUUUGUAGUGACGGCAAACUUUAUUAUUGGAAUUUGUUCAAGGGGUUUUACAUAUUGAUCUGUAUUUUGUUAAAUGAAUUAAAAUUAACAAUGAAUUUUGUUAUGAUUUAAUGAAGAGUAUACUAUUUUGCAUUUUUAUUUAGGUGUGGAACACGAAUUGUUUGCACAAAAGUGGAUAUUGUCUUUGUAGCUUAGUGUAAGAAUAUUGGUAGCUGCAUCUGUAUAAGCGUCUGGGUUUUAGUGUACUUAAGAGUCUGUAUAAAAUAAUGAUAAUUUUCUUGAUGUUUUUAAUGUAAUUUGUAUGUUUUAAUAUUGAACCGACUGCGAUCAGCUUCUGUAUGUCAUGAGAUUAAGAGAUGAAUGUUAUAAAGAGUUAAAUAUUUAGAUAGGAUAUGUGGUGGGUAUAAGAAUUAUUAUUCGUAGUUACGAUUUAUUAUUGUAAUUAAUAUUAUUUAUUAGUUUAAAUAAAAUAACUAUACUAUCUAAAAUGGCUUCUUUUUUCAUUACCUACCUUUCAUGACGAAAUUUGUAAAAUAUUUUUUUUAUUAGAAAAUGAACUUGCAAAUUUUAUGUUAAUGUAUUGUAAUAGAAUUAUGUAACAUUAUACUAUUAAAAUUCUUUUUUUUUGUUAGUGUAAUGUUAAUUAAAAUAUAUUAAGUAUGAAAUCAUGUUUUACGGCUGUAGUAUAGCUAUUGCGAAUUUUAUUUGUAUUUAUAGAAUUAUUGGUAAAUUUUAAAUUAAUUUUAUUCCCAUGAAUUAUGUUUAUUGAGAUAAACUGAUAGAUACUUAUCUCGAUAAAUUAACGUAGCUGCAGUUGCGAAGUAUUGUAGAGUAGAUAUGUAAUAUUUAGACAAAUCUGUAUUUCGUUAGCAGCGGUAGUCCUAAUCAGAAUAAAGUGGGGUUGCCUUUCAGAUUUUUUUCUUUCAGAUAAUUUUCCAGUGACUAUUAGUUAAAGCAAUUGGGUUAGGAUAUUUGGCCACUUGAUGUCGUAACACUUAGCACCCAUUUUGCUUUACUCUAGGACUACCGCUGAAACCUUAAUAUGCACAAUCUGCUUUUCUAGAAUAUACUAGGGUUUUAUUCUCUGCAGUUACAGUAAUCUCUCUCUCAACGGGCAAAACAUUUCUUAUUGUAAACGGGUACACGUUCAAGAAAGAGUUUGGUUUGAAGAACGGAACACGAUGGAGUUGCAACGAGCCAAGCCACACCAAGUGCAGCGUUUAUAUUCAUGUUAACGAGAAAUUUGAACUCGUCUUCAUGGCCAAUGCCCAUACCCACGAACCGAUAUUGUGCCGCAUGUUCCAAGACAGAAUUAUGUAGUACUUUUUCAAUUACCUUUGAUUAUAAAUAAUGAGAAUCAUUAAGAAUAGAUAAGGUUUUUUUAUGUUAAAUUUGAAGUUCAAAACUUCAUUCGAACGUCUGUUUUUAAUCACAGAAAAUCAUUGAAUGAUUAAAUUUAUCAGCGCUUUAUGCUCUAGCAUAAAUUUGUGUCUUAACAAUUUUGUAUUUAUUUUGUGUCUUCUAUUCAUAAAAAUAAAAUUUUAUGGUUUAAUAUAUAACCAUUGUAUUCAUUUGCUUUGUGUUUCACGAUCCAGAUUACUGCUUUAUUUUAUUAUAGCAGAUGUGACCCAUGUAAGGGCUGUCUCAAUAGGGGAGUAUUACACCAUGGAUUUGCGAGCACAUUUUAUGCCAUUGAAUUUGUUAAAAUCGAGCAUAUUUAUCUUUAAAACACCAAACUUUGUUUAAUAUAAUUUGUUAUUAUACAAUUUUAAAUGUGAUGAUAUCUUGUUGACAGCUCAAAAGGCCUUGAAGAAUAAUGAAAUUUUCACCACAAUCAUAUACGAGGAAGGAAUAUCUGGCAUAGACCCUCACAGCGAUAACACGGCAUUAUUCGUAGACUCGCGGAAAGGGAAGACAAUUCUCCAAUACAAUGGCCAUAGAUACAGAAAGGCGUAUAAAUCCAGGAACGGCACUCGAUGGACUUGCUCAAAAAGCAAAAACUGCACAGCAUUUCUGUAUCUGAACGAUGAAGAUGAAAUCAUAAUGGCUCAUCAGAAGCACUUGCAUCCUCGUCCUGUGAUAUUUGAAAACGUAGACUCAGAGCAGCAUGAUACAGCAGUCGUCAUCACCUCUCGCAAAGGCAAGGAGAUGUUACUGUUCCGUCAAUAUACCUAUCGGAAGCAAUAUGACAAAGGCAACAGGGCUCGCUGGGUCUGCUCUACCCUGAAGAACUGUCACGCCUGUGUGUUUACAGACAGCUCUAAUUACAUCACGUCGGCAUGCGAAGAUCAUUGCCACGACCCACCAAAAUAUUACAUGAAACCAGAUCAUAUACUCGAUGCUAUCAGAGAACCUAUCAUACUUGAAACUGAUUAGUUGACGGUAGUUAGGAAGAUUUCGGUGUUUAUUUGUGUUAAGAAAAUAGUACAUAAAUAGUAGUCCUUGAUUAAUGUGUUGAUAAAUCACAUUUAAUUACAUUUGUAUUUUCUGGUAACUUUUGUUAUGUGGUUCCUUACUAUUUUCUUAACAUGAACUAUUUGACUCAAACCAAGAAAUAGUACGAGAAAAUUAACAUUUUAAUUUGUUUCUUUUCAAAAACCAGAGUACUACUUAUUGUAUUUUAUUGUAAACUAAGUAAUAUUGUCAUACACCACUCAAUAUGCAAUUUUCUGUACUUUAUACUUCAAAGUUGUUAUUACCAUAUAACAGUGAAUUUUCUGUUGGCAUAUAGUACCCCUAUAAUAAUUAUAUACUAUAAUUUUUUUUUUGCAAUGAGUUUUGAAAUUUUUUGUUUUACAUUCAUAGUAAAAUCAAUUUAAAAUGUAAAAAAUUCGUAAUUGUUGAUAGAGGAAGAUAAAAUAAGCUCAUCGAUAUAUUCAUUUUAAAAUCAUUAUCAAGUGUAUUGGAGGUGUUUCCAUUUUGUCGUUUAUAACUAACAGUAAAAGGAAUAAAAUGUAUUGUAUGGGAAUUUUUUAACCGACUUCAAGAAAGGAAAGUUCUCAAUUCGGCCGUAUUUUUUAUGUAUGUUGCCUUAGAACAUUUUUUUUAUAUAUUUAAUGAAAUCACCAGUUUGUAUAUUAUGUUUAUACAAAAGGUUAGUAAAUAAUUUUUUUAAUAUAAAAUGCUAAGGAAUAUUUUUUGUACUUUAAGAAGCAUGGAAUUAACAAUUUUCGGUGCAUUUUCAUCAUGAAAUUAACGAAACAAUAUUCAAAUGAUAAAAAAAUUUAAACGAUUACACUAAAGAUGACAUAUUCCAGAAAUAUUAUCUUUACUGUUCUGUGUUGUGUUUAUUUUUUUCUGUUUAUACUUAUAUUUUAAAGAGGAAAAGUUUGUGAGUUUGUUUGAAGAUUUAUAGGGGCUAAACUCUGGAAGUACUCAACUGAUUUCAAAUUGCUCACUAAUACGAAGCUAAAUUACUUCUGAGUGCUAUAGGCUUUGUAUCCCGGGAAAAUAUUUCACCCGGGCGGAGCUGCGGGCAAAAGCUAGUGUAUUAUAAAUUACUAAAAGGUUGGCGAGCCAUUUUUAUGUAAAAAGCGAUUUAAGUAUUCGUCUUAGUUAUUUUGUUUCAGAAACUACCAUGAUUUUGUAGUGGUCAUGUCUACGUAUUUUACAAAUUAUAACAUGUCCUUAUGAAAUUUUCCAAAUUAAAUAUCAGUGUGCAAUAAUAAUGUUAUUUUUUAUUACAUUUUCAAAAUAAAGUCCUACAUACUUUCACUGGCCUAAUUAAAUAAACGUACACUGAUUUAACUUUUGAAUCUGUUGCUUUACUAUAACAAAUCCUAAUAAAAUUAAUCAAUUCUUUAAAAAAAAAUGUAACCAAUAGUUACUUGGAAUCUUAAUACAAAAAAAAUAAAAUAAUCUUAAGCUGGUCUUUUCCCUAUAUGAUGAUUUUACAACAGGAUAAAGUCAAGAGAAUCGCAACGGAAUAAAAUCGUCUAAUUCAUACGUCUAAACACCCAAAACAAUGUUCGCAGAUUCCAGUGAAGAUGAUUUUGCUGACCCGAAAACAGCAUACUUCGUAGAAACCUCCAGAGGUGGUUUGAUACUCAUUUACAAAGGGUUCCGAUACAGGAGAGAGCAUAAAGUAAAAAGCGGUAGACGGUGGGUUUGCUCUGUUAACAAAUACUGCAACGCCUUCCUCACCUUGACGGAGGACAACGAGAUCACCAAAGUCCGUGCCAAUCAUAACCAUCCGAAAACACCAAUAAAGAUACGUUUGUGAUACAUAGUAUUUCUUACGACAGUGACGAGGAUUACGAUGAAAAUUCAAAGGACGUGGCUAUAUUCUUGAAAACGCAUAGAGGAAGCAUGUUAUUAAAGUUAAAUGGAUAUAAAUAUCGUAAAACAUAUAAAACAAAACACGGGACACGCUGGGUUUGCUCGUCGAACAAGUAUUGCUCAGCCCACCUGGUCGUGUCGGACAUGGAUGAGAUCGUGGCGGCGUGCGAGGUCCACAAUCAUAAUAAAACUAAAUCUGCGAAGACUUUGGCAAAACCGCUUGCAAAAAAAGAAAAGGCAGUGCUGGUGAUAUCUCGCAACGGUAACAUCAACUUAAUACAUAGAAAAUUCGCCUAUCGCAAGAAGUACUCCGGGACUGACAGAAGUCGAUGGGUAUGCGCCACGGAGAAGGCUUGCCGCGCCUGCAUAUUUGUAGACAAUGAUUACCACGUGGUCUCAGGCAUUAUGGACCACAUGCACUCACCCCCGAAGAUUCAUAAAAGCCUCUCGGACCUCCCGCUAUUAGAUGAGAAAGGGAACAAAAUCAACAAAGAAGACAUAUACAAACGUGAUGAAUCAAAUUGAAAAUUUAUGUUUUUCUUUUACAUUUUAUGUUUUACGAAAUUAAAUGAAAUUUUAAUGUUUUUAAUGUGUUAAGUCUAUAAAAGGUUAUAUACA